rnacentral:rRNA from 1 species
CCCGGGAACUACGAGCCAAGCUUAAAACCCAAAGGACUUGACGGUACCCCAUAUCCCCCUAGAGGAGCCUGUCCUAUAAUCGAUAACCCCCGUUUAACCUCACCAUUUCUAGCAACUCAGCCUGUAUACCUCCGUCGUCAGCUUACCACGUGAGCGCUAGUGAGCUCAAUGUUUUUUCAACUAAACGUCAGGUCAAGGUGCAACACAUGAAAUGGGAAGAGAUGGGCUACACUUUCUAAAAUAGAUCACACGGAAGACUAACUAUGAAAUCUAGUCAGAAGG